rnacentral:rRNA from 1 species
AGUGAACGCUGGCGGUAGGCCUAACACAUGCAAGUCGAACGGCAGCACAGUAAGAGCUUGCUCUUACGGGUGGCGAGUGGCGGACGGGUGAGGAAUACAUCGGAAUCUACUCUUUCGUGGGGGAUAACGUAGGGAAACUUACGCUAAUACCGCAUACGACCUACGGGUGAAAGCAGGGGAUCUUCGCACCUUGCGCGAUUGAAUGAGCCGAUGUCGGAUUGGCUAGUUGGCGGGGUAAAGGCCCACCAAGGCGACGAUCCGUAGCUGGUCUGAGAGGAUGAUCAGCCACACUGGAACUGAGACACGGUCCAGACUCCUACGGGAGGCAGCAGUGGGGAAUAUUGGACAAUGGGCGCAAGCCUGAUCCAGCCAUACCGCGUGGGUGAAGAAGGCCUUCGGGUUGUAAAGCCCUUUUGUUGGGAAAGAAAAGCAGCAGGUUAAUACCCCGCUGUUCUGACGGUACCCAAAGAAUAAGCACCGGCUAACUUCGUG